AGAGUUUGAUCAUGGCUCAGGAUGAACGCUGGCGGCAUGCCUAAGACAUGCAAGUCGAACGCAGUGGCCCAUAGAAGAAAAAGUGCUUGCACUUUUUUGGAAAUGGAUUUCCACUGAGUGGCAGACGGGUGAGUAACACGUGGGUAACCUACCUUUAAGUUGGGGAUAACAAUUAGAAAUGAUUGCUAAUACCGAAUAAGAUAUCCCAGCAAUGGGAUAUUGAAAGAAGCCUUUAAAGCUUCGCUCAAAGAUGGGCCUGCGGCGUAUUAACUAGUUGGUGGGGCAACGGCCUACCAAGGUAACGAUGCGUAGCCGAACUGAGAGGUUGAUCGGCCACACUGGGACUGAGACACGGCCCAGACUCCUACGGGAGACAGCAGUUAGGAAUAUUCGUCAAUGGGGGAAACCCUGAACGAGCAAUGCCGCGUGAGUGAUGAAGGUCUUUGGAUUGUAAAACUCUGUUGUAUGGAAAAAAUGGCUAGGUUAGGAAAUGAACUUAGUGUGAUGGUACCAUACCAGAAAGCCCCGGCUAACUACGUGCCAGCAGCCGCGGUAAUACGUAGGGGGCGAGCGUUAUCCGGAUUUAUUGGGCGUAAAGCGUGCGUAGGCGGUUUAUUAAGUUUAAGAUAAAAGCCCGGGGCUUAACUCCGGCUCGUCUUAAAAAACUGGUAGACUUGAGUGUGGUAGAGGUAAAUUGGAAUUUUCUAGUGUAUCGGUGAAAUGCGUAGAUAUUUAGAAGGAACACCAUGGGCGAAGGCGGUUUACUGGGCCACAACUGACGCUGAUGCACGAAAGCGUGG
rnacentral:rRNA from 1 species